rnacentral:rRNA from 1 species
AUGGGAGAAAUAGUCUACAAAUUGGAACUGCCCGAAGGAUCGUCAGGAGUUCAUGAUGUAUUCCAAGUUUCCCAGUUGAAGAAGUGCCACGCGGAGAUGGCUGAUAUACCGCUGAGAGAUACAGUGCCGCUGGAAGCGAUUCAGUUGGACAGUGAUUUGACCUAUGAGGAGAAACCAGUUAAGAUUCUUGAGUACGCUAGCCGAAUCACCCGCAGCAAGGUUAUCAAGUUUUGCAAAGUUCAGUGGAGCCACCACACAAAUGAUCCUAGAAAUUCUACGCAACUCAAGGACCCACGGAGAGAGUUGGGGAUUAUGUUAUUUUCAUAUUUGAGUUUUCUCAAAUUUUGA